UUAAAACAGCUGAAACGAAUCCGUGUUUCGGUGCUUCGAGUGGACGGGUAAAUAAUGAACCCAUAAGGUUCGAAAAAAAAUAUAUAUAUAUUUUUUGGACUGAGUCGGAGAAGAGGAAUAGAGGAUUGAUCGAUUUCUUCAUCAUUUUUGAUAGCGAGAGCAGUGAGAAUAGGAAGGGAGGACGAAGACGAAGCGUAAAAGGAACUGCUUUACCGAUUUCUCACCGUUCUUCGCUGCGAUUUCUGCGAGUUUUCCGCUCCGCUAGGUUUCUCCCUGUAUCCGAUCGAUAUAUUACUGUGCAGGUCAAGCUAUAAAAAGAUCGGCUUUGAUUUCCUGCGAGCUCCUAGUCUAUGGCCAAGUGGAAGAAGAUCAUAUUCCCUACUGAAUUCAAGCUUUUUCUUUGAGUUCUGAUUCGGAUCUGUUACUGUUCAGUACGAUCCAGAAGUAGAAAAGAGAGAGGGAGAUAGGGGGGAUAAGGGAAGGGAAUAGUGAUGUACGGAUCUCCAUCGGCGGCGGCAACUAAAGAGCUAAACCUCCCGUUCAGUCGCCGGAAAGAAGAAUCCGAUCUUCAGAGGCAGCAACAGAUGAGCUCCGGUUUGCUACGGUACCGCUCGGCUCCGAGUUCUCUGCUCGGGGAGGUAUGCGAGAACUUCCUUCCUGUAAGACCCUCAAGCCCCGAGACAGAAUCCAUGUUCGCGCGCUUUCUCUCGCCAGAUCUACGCGAAGAGAUCCGCGAAAAGCCCGCCGCCGUCGAGAGAAAUCUUCACUUCAAGCCGUCGCCGGAGACAGAGCAGAACGGUGGGUUCUCCUGUGCUCCGCCCCAGAUGUUUUAUCACUCUCAGCAUCAACAAUCUAUGGCGGAUGGAGCAAAUCUAAUCCGGCAGAGCAGCUCUCCUGCUGGUUUCUUCUCCCACUUGAACGUCGACAACGGCUAUGGUUUGAUGAGAGGGAUGACGGGCGGUAUCAAGGGACAGAUUAGCUUCUCCUCCCGGCAAAACUCGCUGUCUCAAAUAUCUGAGAUGGAAAGCGACGGCAUCUCCGGUGACCACGAAAGCCCCGUGGAGAAUAGCAAUGGCCGUUGCCUCAUCCCAGGCUACGCUGUUUCUUCUUGGGAGGAUUCCUUGCUAUCUGAUAGCUUCUCUGGUUACAAGAGGUCAAGAGAUAUCGUCGGCCUGAACCAAACAGAGCUACAGGAAGGAGAUGUCAAGAACAACCAAGUUUCCGGCCUAACUCACCAGUUCAGCUUGCCGAAGACUUCGUCGGAGAUAGCGGCGAUCGAGAAGUUCCUCCAGUUUCAGGACUCCGUUCCCUGUAAGAUCAGGGCUAAGAGAGGCUGUGCUACACAUCCCAGGAGCAUUGCUGAGAGAGUGAGAAGAACACGAAUUAGUGAGAGGAUGAGGAAGCUGCAGGAGCUAGUGCCCAACAUGGAUAAGCAAACGAACACUGCGGACAUGCUGGAUUUGGCCGUUGACUACAUCAAAGAUCUCCAAAGACAAGUCAAGACAUUAACAGAUAGCAAGGCAACCUGCACGUGCUCAGAUAGCAAGCAGAAGACUUAUCAGAACCCGACAAGCUAAUAAAUCAGCUUGUUGUACAGAGUAAUUAAGAAGAUAAGAAGAAGAUAAAAGGAUUGCAGAAGACUUUUGAGUAAGGUGACAGGUACCAACUACUAAUCAGCUGCAGAAAGUGGACUUAUAUGUUCUUUUCUUGAUUAUUUUUUGGUGAAAUAAGAAUUAUCUAAUUACUUUUUUGCAUAAUUAUCUAAUUUAGAUUGGAUGAA